UACGUAGGGGGCUAGCGUUGUCCGGAUUUAUUGGGCGUAAAGAGCUCGUAGGCGGUUCGGUAAGUUGGGUGUGAAACCUCCAGGCUCAACCUGGAGACGCCACCCGAUACUGCUGUGACUAGAGUCCGGUAGGGGAGCGUGGAAUUCCUGGUGUAGCGGUGAAAUGCGCAGAUAUCAGGAGGAACACCAGCGGCGAAGGCGGCGCUCUGGGCCGGAACUGACGCUGAGGAGCGAAAGCGUGGGUAGCAAACAGG
rnacentral:rRNA from 1 species